UCAAACUGCCAACCUUCCAAUCAGCAAGCCCAAGAGGCUCAGUGGUUUAGACCACAGCGCCACCCGCUCCCCUGCUGUGGGCUGUGCCAAGCAGGUGUCUGUGCUAAGUUCGGCAUCAAUAUGGCGAGCCCUGGGGAGCUGAGGUGCGCCAGGUUGCCCAAGGAGGGGUGAACCAGCCCAGGUUGGAGAUGGAGCAGGUAAAAACUCCCAUGCCGAUCAGUAGUGGGACUGUGCCUGUGAAUAGCCACUGCAGCCUUACCUGGG